rnacentral:rRNA from 1 species
UACGUAGGGGGCGAGCGUUGUCCGGAAUUACUGGGCGUAAAGGGUGCGUAGGUGGCCUUUUAAGUUGGAUGUGAAAUACCCGGGCUUAACUUGGGGGGUGCAUCUAAUACUGGAGGGCUAGAGUGCAGGAGAGGAAAGCGGAAUUCCUAGUGUAGCGGUGAAAUGCGUAGAUAUUAGGAGGAACACCAGUGGCGAAGGCGGCUUUCUGGACUGUAACUGACACUGAGGCACGAAAGCGUGGGGAGCAAACAGGAUUAGAAACCCUGGUAGUCC